CACUCUUUCCCGAUCUCUUCUCAAAGGAGCCCCUUCAUUCUUUUGUCAAAGAAUUUGGUUUUAUACGCUAUCGACUACUUCAUAGCUCUGUUAUUAUUCGUCGAAUGAUGGUCAUACUCAUAUAAGUUCCCUUGGCAUGGGCUUAAAAGGUUGAUUUUGGAUGCUGCACCCGCUAUUUCCCAGCACGUCCUUCUAAUGGUCAUCAAGAUAACAACUGAGAUACUAUGGUAUCAGAACCUGAAAUAUAUAGGCAGGCUCUGCUUAGGGAAUCACUUGCUCCCAUUCAUACCUUCCAGGAAGGGGUAAAUCGUUGAUGAUGUCAAAGUUGUACCUGCGACAACCCAACCACCAACUAUGAGGAUUUCAUGGUAUUUGGGGGUCCAUGUAGAUUGCUAAUCUAUUUCAGUUAACAUGAAUCACAAUCAGUUAAAGUUGGUUUUGCAAUUUAACUAGCAUACUUCUCAAUGAAGAUUUUCUGUUGCUCCUCCUCAUGUCGGGCAAAGAACUCCUCCAUCUCAAGCGUGGUUGGGAUAUUUCUUUGCACAUUGUUUCUAACUCUCCGGUGAGUUGAAAUAGAACUCGUCCGCCUUGUGGUGGAACCGGGGGUUCCAAUUGUGUCCGACUCCCUUAUGAAGCUGCACGGCGUGGUUUCUCUAGUGCUCCUGUAUUAGACAUGGAAAAAAUAAUAUCAACCCUGCAAUCUUGUACACGAUUCAAGGGAAAUCUUAAUCCACAAACAUAUUAUUACCCGGGACCACCUUCAUCCCACAAAAAGGGACCAAAAUGUGUUUUCUUUUGGUGCCCAUGUGAUAUUAAUAACAAAGAAAUAAGAUAAAAGUGUAAUAAAUAAAACAAAUUACAUUUUGGCAGUGUAUGCAAGCAAUUAAAAGCACGAGAUCUGGAAGUUUUUGUCACCUAUACUAGUAACCCCAAAAAAGAGGUGUCCAACUUAAAUGUUAGAGAGGCAAAUAGGCCCCAUGAAAACGAUAUGUUAAUGCUCUAACACAAAUGAAGCCCAAGAGUGAUCGCUGUCGGUACUGCAAAAGAUAGUUUUAUUUUCCCUCAUUUCAUCGUCAUAUGGACACCCCCAGCUUUUGAGAUCAAUGCUAUUUUGCAAAUCAAAAGAGAGAACAUAAACGCAUCCAAAGAAUGACAACAAUAGUUUGUCCCUCGUGUCGUCGCCUCAGUCCUAAUGUGUAACAGAUGCAGACUAAAUUGCCAAAACAUGAUUAUGAAACUAGCUCUACAAAGAUAAGGCACAAUUAGAUAUAGUCUAUAUGAUAUCUGCUCAGGUAUAUCUUCUUAUUCUUUCACUGUCUAGUUAAGCUAAAAGCAAUAAAUCGGCUUUACAAAGAAGCUGAUGAAAAUUUAGGAACCAUGAGAAGCAGAUGACUUUGACAGCGCGGCCCAAAAGCCAAAGCUAAAAACUUUAUAUUUGAAAGAAAAGCAGUAGUUGAAAAAAAAUUCAAAUAAAACCCAUUUCUUGCGAGGGAAGAGGUGGAGGGAAAUGGCCAUUUUUCAAGUCUGAAAAAGCUUAAAAUAUUUCCUCUCCUAUAUUAUUAAAAGCCAACAAUUAUUAAUCAAGAAAAUCAUAUUUCACAUCAACAUUAAGCAAAAAGCACUGACAAAACCAGUGCUAAUCAUCAAUAUUUAAAAUUAAAAAAAAUAAAUUAAAAAACAAUUUAGAUCACAAGAACAGAAAAAAGAAAACUAUCGCAUUUGAGCUAAGAAAUAAAGAAGCAAAAUUUACCUGUCUCUGGCUUCAAAAUCCAAGUUGUUUUCCCCAAACGAAGCCUCGACCCCCAAAUCGUUACCAUACUCUGCUCCACUUCCGAAAUUACCAAAACACCCCUCCUCCCCUUCCUUCUCCUUCCUCUCAACGGGUCCAGCCCAGUCCAACUCCACCGACGAGCCCACGCUCAGCCUUGAUUUGGGCCUCGAUUCCACCGGCCCCCGUCGGCUUUCCCCGCAGCAGCAGCUCCUCCGGGCUUCUCCGAGGGCUCAUUAAUUCCGCCGCUCUGGCUCUGCUUCUUGACGGCGUCGUUUCGCAACGGGGGUUUCUCUAGACGGCGGCUCCUGAGCUGGAGGUAGUACAGGGAGGAGCUAUCUGAGUCCGAUUCUCCGGAGGGGGAUUGAUCUUGAUUCUCUUGCUUCUGCUGCUGCUGCUGCUGGAGCUUUUGGAGGGCUAGGGUUUUGGCUCUGGUCCGAACUCCGAGAGAGGACUGCGGCGAAAUGGAGACCUCCAUCACGGCUACGUCGCCGAAAAUUUUCGAUUUCUUCAUGUAUUUCCCCAUAUCUCAGGCCCUUCCGGCCUCUCUGCGUUUUCUUCGAAGUUGGAAUUUGGAGAGAGAGGUGAUGACAACUGACGGAGGCGAUAUCUAUCAGAGAGAGAGAGAGAGAGAGAGAGAGAGAGAGAGAAGGGGGAGAGAGAGGGAAAGAGAGGGAAAAAGGUGGGGGGGGGGGGGGGAAGGUAGGGGAGGAGAGAGGGAGAGAGAAGAAAAGUUAGGGUUGGGGGUUUAGGGAACAGUGGUACUUUAUAUCUCUACAUUCUCGUCGUAUUUUCAUUAUUUGCCCCUUCUCUCUUAAAUUAUUUUCUUCCGUGGACCCUUCUCUCCCUCCCUUCUAUUUCCUUUUCUUUUUAAGUUUCAAAAAUAAAUUAAUUAAGGAUUUUUAUCACAAAUGAUUCUUAAAAUUGAUCUCACAUUCAAGAUGGUUUCUGAAAAGUCAAUCAAUGUAAUCCCUGAAAAUAGGUGUCGCAAAUUAAUGUGGUCAUUUUGUCACAAUUAUGUUAAAAAUUUCGUUAAGUGCUGAUGUGACACAUAAAUAAAUCCCACAAGAUUUAUGAGUUUUUGUGAAACCCCGUCCCAAAUUAUGUAUAUUUUCAUACUAACGAAUUUAUGAAAUUACCAUUUUUCCUCUUAUCCCCUCACCCUACCCGAAUCUCCCAUUUUGGGAUUUUCCCUAUCCCUUUUUAUUAUUUUUAUAACACUAUCUCCUCUUCUCCCUUCUAUCCCCCGAGUUCACUCUCUCUCUUAACUCACUUUUUCUCUCUCGCACCAAUCCCUUCUCCCACUCCCCGAUCUACACACACCAAAAUCGAGACAAACGAUGGCGACGACGGCACCACCAUGCCCACCGUGUUGGGGUUCCCUCUCUCUUCUCCUCUGUGAAGCACACAUAGAACCCAUGAAGCUUCUCCGGUGAGUUCCGUGGCUUUCGAGCCAAACUCCGACCAGCUCCAACCACCACACAGUGUGUUUUUAGGUAUGAAUCUCUUCCUCUCAUCCUAAACUUCAAUUGGGUAGUAAGAUCGCACCUUGGGGUUGAGUAACAGAGUCGAUCGGAGCUCGGGAAACCCAAAGCCUUGGGUAUGGGCUACCAGGCCCAAACCCUUUAACCAAAAACCCAGGGCCUUUGGCCCACUGAACCUAACUCAAAUCCAAUCCCUUGGGCCGGGUUACAAGCCCAAAACCUUUAAGCCCAAACUCCAGGCCCAGACUCUUUGAACCCAAACCUUUGGGCCAUGCAAACUCGGGCCUUCAGCCCAUUGAAAUAAGCCCCAAACCCAAUUGGAACCAAGCCAACCCAGACCUAGAUCCGACUUGACCCGGUCAGAUCCUAGAAACCAGACCUCGCGUGGGUGCCCGUCUGUGCCGAUGUGUGGAGCAUAUGCGCCUCCACCAGAGGCAUUGUGCUCCGCCAACGAUGCCGUCAACUUUUCCAGCCAACUUUUCGCGUGACCCAUGUUGGCGCGUACGGCGGCACGUGGCCGUCGGGGUUACCACCUUACAACGGUCCGUGGGUUUAUGUUUUUCGAUGUCCUGAAUCCGUUUAUGACGUAGUUUUCUGAAAUUCAAUCGCUAUGGGGCUAGCUGCCGUCCAUUGGCUUUUCCAUCCACCUCCUCCAGUAGCACACCAUGACCCAAUUUCUCCGAGGCACUGAAUUGGUUGGCUAUUUUCCUUUCUCAUUGAACUGAACUAGAUCUUCCUUCAAAUCAUUCUCCAUCGAUUCCUUUUGCCUCUCUACAUUGGUAUCGAAACCGCCAUACCCCUCCUUUGUCAACUUAUCAGCAAGUAUAAAAGCCAAGGUGAUCCCAGGCAGUAACAGCCACCCUUCCUUGAUCUGUUCAUCAAACAACCUUAGAAUCGAGCAUAGCUACCGCUUUCCCAUAGGGAUGUUCUGCAGAGAGAAUUCGAUAGCUGUCAUAAAGUUCUGUUCAUUUUCUGCUUAGAGCAGUUCUUAGUUUCAUACUCUAGUUUUUUGCCUGGAAGUGAAAGUACCUGCACCACCAACAUUCAUGAGUUAGUGAUUAAUGUAUAUGAAUUUCAAUAACGGUUCACUAAAUUCAUUUUACUAUCAAAGAUAACGCAGAUACUCACCCUUCGGUUACCAAUGAGUUCGAAGCUGGGGUCUUCUUCAUCAAACUUAUCCCGGAGCUGAAAGAACCAGUCGUUGUUCAUCAAGGACCAUCCAGUUCCAACAAACUCAGCUAGCACAUGGGUUGCACCUGAGGGAGUAAUGCCAAUUACAUCCUUUCCGGGGAGAUGUUUCGUUCUUGUUUCUGCUACCAUUGGCUCCCUGUCAUGCACAAUUUCAGGAUCCUGAUUAUGGAUCAUAAACAUCGAAGCUCCAUGAGUCAUUCAUAUUUGUAUCCUUCCAGGGAGUGAAAAAAGCAAGACUUUGAGAACGGACCGUCUGAACCAUGGGCAGUGCAUAUGGCAAUGGAAUUGGAGUAGUUGAAGUGAGAGCAAUGCGAAUGGUGACAGGCUUUGAACCCGGAACUGCAGACGUGGGAGUCAACUCAAACCAUUUCCCCACUUGCAGUUUAGAAGCUGGGUUGAGGAGGUGCUCUAAACUGAAUGUUGAAGUUCCCAACAGUAUAGGAGUCUUUGACAUUGACAGAAUCGAAGGGGAAUGCGACAUAAGGAAGCACACAGCCAAGGCGUUUAAAUUACAACCAACCAAUCUCCAGAGGCACUUGAAUACGGACUUUGCCACCCUGCAAGAUCGACAUGCUCGAACUACUUGGGAAUAUCACUUCCAGCGAAAAAAGGCUCACCAAAUAAACAAAUACGAUGUAUGAAAUAAACAAAUUCAAUGUAAGAAAUUAACAAAUUCAUUUAGCUACCAAAGAAUACAGAACCCCUUUCCUAAGAAAAUACCAAUGCAAUUCAUCUGAAUUAAUGCAGAUUUAAAGAGAAUAUAAUUUGAAUAAUUAUUGUGCAUAUAUAUAUAUAUAGACAUACACACACCAUGUAUGAAGAUCAUAUCCAUCACACAACAACAAAAUCAAAAGAAAAUGGUUGGAGCUUCUUGGCCUCAUUACCCACCUUGCGUCAGCGAAGACUGUACAAAUGCUGCAUGUUGUGGUCAAGGUUUUCUUAUUUCUCUUUCUCCACUACUUCUAUAUUUUUUUAUUUUUUUAUUUUAUAUAUCAAAUACGCACCUACAAAUUUGAAGGUCGAUAAUUUUUACUAUUUUCAGAAUUCAAAUAUGUUUGGCCGGAACUAGUUGGAAAGCCUGCGUCGGAGGCUGCAGCCAUAAUCGAGAAGAGCAACCCAUCAGUUACAGUUCUCAUCUUAAAGCCUGGAUUGAUUAGAUUGGACAAUUUUUGUUGCAACCGUGUGUAUGUUUUCAGUGAUCAAAAGGGCAGAGUCUCGGCGGUACCUACAGUCGGGUAGAUACUAGAGAAUGAUCCAGCAAUGCAGACUUCACCAAUAAUAUCUCAAUCAUCUCAAUGUAUUCAUAAUAAUUGUGGAAAAUUCUACUACAUCCACUUACGUUUACUUAUUUUCAAGCUUUCUUUCAAGAUGGGACUUAUUGAUGUCCUUUGUCUCAUGUUCUUCCUUAUUUUGAAUAAAAGGAUUAGAAUUCCAAAAGAUUAUGGAUAUGAUUUCUUAGCCUUCCUAACUGAGGCAGGGCCAUAAACAUUUGAAGGGCCAUCCAGGUGAGAGUGUUUCCCCUGGCAAGGGGGUGAGGGACUAGUCACACACUAUUCAUGGCAUGAAUACUAACCCUCUUAAUACAUCUUCAACCAGUGGUGGAUCCAGGAUUUCAAGAUCAGGGGGUCCCAACGUAAAAGUUUAAAAAAAGAAAUUAGAUUAAUUUUGUUCCAUAUCACUAUUUUCUAUUGAAUUUGGUUCAUUGAAUAAAUCAAGAUUAAUCUUAAUGGUAAUAAAACUAAUGAAUUCUCCUCAGCAAUAUAACGCAAUUAGUGACUCUACAAAGAUGUAAUUUGUUAGAGUAAACUGUCGAUUUGCCCCCUAAACUUUCACCUAGCUUUCGAUUUACCCCCUGAACUUUUCGAUUGGAAAAUUAAGGACUCAAACUAAUUUUUUUACCCAAUUUGCCCCCUACCGUUAGUUUUUCAAACAUUCCAUCCAUAUUUAUGUUCAGUGAGACCAUGUGCACAACAUGUGAGGGUAUUUAAGUCAUUUCACUCUUAAAAAUGAUUAAAAAACUGAAAAAAAAUUUAAGAAAAAAAAACUUUCCCUCUAUUUUUUUCCCUCUAAUUCCUAUUCUCAAUUUUAUUUUUCACUCAUUCUUAUGCAUGAGAAAUGACAUAUAAUGUUAUUGUCUUCAAAAGUAUCUAAGUUAGUCUUUUUCUUGAAGCAUGUACUGCCAUUUUUAUUUUCUCUAACAAAUUAAUAAUUUGACAAAUGCUCAUGGUGUUAUUGUCUUCAAAGCAGUGCAUUAAUAUAAGCAUGUUACAUGUUGUGCUUUAUUUUAGAGACAUUAAGACUUUACNACGCUAUCGACUACUUCAUAGCUCUGUUAUUAUUCGUCGAAUGAUGGUCAUACUCAUAUAAGUUCCCUUGGCAUGGGCUUAAAAGGUUGAUUUUGGAUGCUGCACCCGCUAUUUCCCAGCACGUCCUUCUAAUGGUCAUCAAGAUAACAACUGAGAUACUAUGGUAUCAGAACC
rnacentral:lncRNA from 1 species